rnacentral:rRNA from 1 species
UACGGAGGGUGCGAGCGUUGUCCGGAAUCACUGGGCGUAAAGGGCGCGUAGGCGGCGCGGGGAGUCAACGGUGAAAGCUCGGCGCUCAACGCCGAGUCGGCCGUCGAUACUCCCGUGCUUGAGCACUGUAGAGGCAGGUGGAAUUCCGGGUGUAGCGGUGGAAUGCGUAGAGAUCCGGAAGAACACCGGUGGCGAAGGCGGCCUGCUGGGCAGUAGCUGACGCUGAGACGCGAAAGCGUGGGGAGCGAACAGG